CCGCGUCCUCCGCCGCCCGCCGCCCGUCCCUUCGGAAGCGCCGAUUCCUCGGGGAGGAGGAGGCGUGAGGGGAGGCGGCGGAGGCAGCCGGCACGGGGCGCUCGGGCCGCGGGGCAGGGGGCGCGGGGUGCCUCCUCGGCCUCGGCUCUCCCCGCCCCGGGGCGCCCCGAGACCGCCGCCUGCCUCCGCGGGCAGCUUUGUUCUUCUUUCCUCCAACUACCUGUCUGAGCCGCGGGCCCCAGAGGCCCCAAAGAGAGGCCCGGAGGGUCUCCCCAGCAGCAUCCGAGGGGCGCUCUCGGGGAGCUAGGGGCCAGAGUCCGCGGUCCCUCCGUGCCUGCCUCCCUCCCCUCGUGCCUCGGUCUUUUGUUGCCUCUACUCCUCGGCACGGCGCAGCCUGGGCUCUCUUCCCCCUCCCGCUUGGGAGUUUGCAGUGUGGACGCUCGGCAAGCACACUCCAGAUAACAGCACUAUGGGAAGGAGGAAGAAUUUAAUGAAAGCUUGUACCUGCUGGCUGAAACUAAGCAGCCUAUUUAUAAACUGCUCUGAAAUGCCAGGGAGCAGGUAACUCCCAAAUGAAAAAGCAAGCAGGUCUCUCCCACCAUCAGUGGGAUGGCUGAGCUGUCUGUGGUGCCUUUGCAUCUUGCUGCUUCGCUGACCCUGAAGGUCUGCCCCAGCCUCAGGCGACCAAGCCUACAGCGACCUCAAGGAGCAGCUGCCUCAUCAGUGCUUGUAGGAGGCUCAGGACGGAGAGGGGUCUGAUGCCCCCAUUUUGUUCCCUUCUUUUGUCUUCUUUUGACUUCCCUAGGGAAGGGAAAAUGUGCUAUGAAGUUAAAAGAGGAAUGAAGGAAAAAGAGAGAAUGGAGGGUCUUCUAAAAUGUGUUUAUUUCUCAAAAGCCACAUAGUGCUUCACAAAUUCACAUUAAUCUAACACUUUUGCACUGUCCCCUCCCUCACUCCAGCCCCAACCAUGGGGCGAAGCCCAGCAGUGUGGGAAUGUACUCGCAAACCCCACACAGACCCGUGGCCACGUGUGGAUGCACUCAACAGGAGCCAGCUAUAUUUCAGUUCUUGCUACUUGUAUCUGUCUUUAGCAUCCUCCUACAACGAGCAACACAGAUAAAUAAAUCCCCAAACCUCACCUUGGCACUGGUUCCAGCUCCUCCCCUCUCCACCUUUAGCAGCCAUUAUCAUAAAUCACAUUCUUUGAUAUAUCUUUCUCAAUGUCUCCCUCGCUCAGAUUGCCUUUUAGUAAAAGUUCAUAAAACAAAACAGAAUUUACUAAAAAUAGGUUAGUGGAAAGGUGAGCAAUACAACUUCUGAAAAAAAAAUUAAACCAGUGUAUGAUUUGGGGAUUUAGUGAAGUGAACUGAUAAACUGGGACAUUCAAAUCUAUUAUGCCAAUAUUUUCUCUGGCAAGAGAUUGCUUGCUGUCUUUGCAUGUAGUUUCAUUUCAGGACUUAAUUCCCUGUUUAAAAAAAAAAACUGGAAGAAAAUUUUGCAUUAGUUGUAUUUUACUUAGAUCCAGAGACGAAGCUCUGCUAAUGCAUAUUACAAUAUAUAAUUAAGCAUAAAUACAUUAAAAUAUUAAAACACUGUAAGUUAUUAGAAAUAAUGAAAUUUCUUGCAUAAAGUCAUUGCAUGAAUUACUUAGGUGCUUGUCAGAUCCCUAAUCAGAAAGAGCUGCCAGAGAUGGCAGAGACUUCACUUGCCAAGACAACGUAGUCCAUCAGCAAAUCAGUGGACUUGGGAAGGAGGUGGUUUUCCAUUUAAGCUGCAGCAUCACAGAAAGUUACCCUCUAAAGUCAUUCUUAGAUGAAUACUUCUAUGUCAUACACAGCUAAAUUCCAACAGUCAAAACAAUUAUUCUAAGCUAAUUAAAAUACAAAUAAAAUUUUAGGCUAUGGGAUAACAGAUCAUGAGAUAAAAACAAUUCUACGAUUGUUGGAGGGGCCCUGUAUGAUAUAUUCAGAUCUUGCUCAUCUCUUCCAAAUCUUUGUUUUUUUAAAUAGAAAAUGUAAAUUAUAUUUAGCUUAAGUCUAUGUUUGAAUUUAAAUCACUAAAAAAAUCUACUUUCUAUAAAGCAUUUGGAGCAAUCUUGCAUAUAAUACUCAUUUGCUUAGCUAACUCUUUUUUUCUGUAGAUAAGUAAGGUAAAUGUUAGGCCACUAGACAAAAUUAUCAUACAUCUUCAAUCAUCAAUGUCCAGAGUAAUGAGUCAAUAUAUGUAUGUACGUAUGUAUAUGCAUUUAAAAAAAUCACUCUUUUGACACAUUUCACUUUUCUUUGUAAGUAAUAUAGGUGGGCUAGAUCAGGGGUUGUCAAGUCAGAUUAGAAUCAUCUGAGGAGAUGUGGGCAUCUGGCGAUGCCCAUACCAAUUAAAAGAGUUUCUAGGGGUGUGGAUGGAAAGUGGGAACUGGUAGUUUUACAAGGUCCCUGUCACCAGGGUUGAGACACCAUAGCUUAGAGUCCUGUAACUUGUCCUUACCACCAGUUCAUUCUCUUCUCUCCUUCUGUGAGGAGCGCUUCUAUACUAAGACCCUGAAGGUAACUAGAAAGAGACAAACUCCACCAAGUCAUCCAGUGGUGCACCUUUGAGGACUUCCACUACUCGCCUAGGUUCUAUGAGGCCAGUAUGGAGACAGAGAGGUGGGGGCCUGUGGGGAACUGGAGGCUACAGGCCCCACUUCUAGGAGAUCUCCCAGCUCCAGCCCACUGUGCCAUCAGGAAUGUGGGCCCAUGGCUGCCUGGCUUUCAAGAGAAGCUAGAAAUCUGCUUUCUAUGUGAAAACCUCUUGAUUUUUAAAUGCUUGCAAUGAAUUAAAAAUUUAUCAAAACUGUGUUGUCCAAACAAUCAUGUAUGUGACCAAACAUGGCCUACAAAAUGCUAAUUUACUACCUCUGAACUAGCACAAUAUCCUGAAAAAAGGCAUAAAUAAAAAAAUAUUGGCAGAAUGCAGCAUGAGCAGUAUGUGGAAAGUUUUAUUUUUUAAACCAUAUAGAUAAAUCUGUAUUUGCUUACUUAUAAUUUAGUUGUGCUCUCCAGAACCUAAUGGCAUAACAUUAACAGGCCUUUAAAAGCAGUGUGCUAAAUGAAGGACAGUUUAAAUCCACAGAUGUAAAACCAUUGUAGAGCAAACAUGCAAACAAAAACUGAUCAAUCAACCAACCCACCCACCCA
rnacentral:lncRNA from 10 species